AUGACUUUGUCCCUCUGCAUCAUGAACUAAAUGACCAUUUUCCUUGGAAUUGUAAAAGGCUGGCUUUGGAAGCCUCGUGCUUAUGUGUCUGUAGAUCAUGUCAAGGGUAGACCAGAUCACAGAAACACCUGUCAUACAACAGGACUAGAUUGGUGGUCUCAGUGCUGCCCUUAGCCAUAUGAGGCCCACAGAUGACUACUGCCUUCAGUCCCUCCUGAGCGGCCUCUAAUCAUUGCAGACAGAAGUGCUCUGCCUGGAAUGUGUCCAUGACAUCACUAAAGACAACUUUCACAGGAGGACACCCAAGUACAAGGUCUGGCUGAAUUCCUCAACUCUAUGGUCAAAAGGUUCUGUCUAAGUCUGAACUCAGAUGUUGGAUCUGAAUGAAAAGUAUUUUCAAGACUGUGACUAAGUCAUGUUUCUACUCUGCUCCAAGACAUGCAAGCAAUACCCACCUUCCAGAGUGGAGCAAUAUCCCUGAUUUCCAUCCACAGUGGUACCCAUUUCCUUCCAGGUCACUGUCACAUUCCUGUUAGGAGACAAAUAUGCGUCUGACAAAUGCUGCACAGUAAGGGGUCCUUCAUGACAAAUGACACAGCAUCCUGCAGUGGGACUGUGACUCCUAUGAUAAGAGGGACAAAAGGAUGUAGGAAGGCUGCAAACAUGACAGCAAAGAUGGGAGCCAGAGGAGGAAGAGGCUGACCUCUCUCACAGUGUGACAAAACAUCUAACUUGUACUUCAUCUUGAAGGUAAAGAGAGAAAAUAAGUGUUGCUGUGGUGAAUCCAUGGAGACUGUCCCAUCAGGACUUCUAAUUUAGGGGCAGAUUGGAGUUGAAUUUUGGCACAAUGUUUUCUGCUGAGAAGAAUGCUAUGGAAUUCCAUCCAUGGGACUUACCCUUGCUAACUAUGUUGUCUGUGGAGAAUCCUGUGGAAGAAGAUGGCUUACCUCCUGUUCUGGACUUCUCUCCUGGGUAUGCCUUCAAGGAGGACAUUGUCAAAGCUCUUCUGGGAUGAUUGUUGAAGAGAAGAUCUCUGGAUUUCAUCAAUGUCUUCAGGAGGGACAUCAUGAAAACUGUUCUUGGAUGUUUCCUGAAGGGUUGAUUUCUGGAGUUCAAUUCUGUCUUCAGAAGGGACAUCUUCAAAGCUGUUCUUAGAUUUUUUCCAACCAGAUGAUCUCCGGAAUUCAGGUAUGCCUUCAGGAGGGACAUCUUCAAAGCUCUUCUUUGAUGUUGCCUGAAGGGAGUAUCUCUGGAUUUCAGGUAUGCCUUCAGGAGCGACAUCUUCAAAGCUGUCCUUGGAUGUUGUCUGAAGAGAACCUCUCUGGAUGUCGUAUGUGGCAGUGGUGUUCACAAUGUGAGGGACCUCCCUGUAGCUCCCAGAACUCUGAGUGUCUGAGCUAUUGCUUGGGGUGUUCACUUCCUGGGAUGUUUCACAGGACAAGAAGGAUGCAAAAGACAUGCUCUCAGAGGACAGGGAUCUUGAGGAUGAGCAAUUACAAAUCAUGCUAUCCAGUGCCAAACAUCUACUUUUGAGAUAAGUAACCUUACAAGCAAGUUUGGGGGCUGGGGAUGAAUGUUUCUUUCCCUUCUCUUGGCAGCACAAGCUUGCAGGCAUGCUCAGGCUUCUCAUCUUCUUCUUCCUUGAUCCCUUCUCAUCAUGCAUCUGGUGUUCCUCCAGAAAGAUGGGAAGAGCAAGCUCACUCAGUCCCCUCUGAGUUGGAAAGCUAGGGAGAGCAUCUGCUGGGGACAUAGUAACACGGGCCGGCAAAAAUUUCCCAGAAUAUUUAUAGUGGUCACAGGGUGAUGUGUGGUUUAAAAUUAGGUAUGUGGCCAUGAUGUUAUUGAAUUUCUUCUCACGUAUAGAAGCACUAAUGUCCUUGGGUGGUAGCCCAUUCUCCCCAGAGCCACCACAAUGCUGGGAUUCAGGUUGUUCAAGAGUGCCUCAAAGGAUGGUGUGAUUUUCCCAAAUUCUUCCUUCGUCGUAAGCCAUUGGUGCUGCCUAAUGUCAAAUAUCUUGGACCUCUGCUCAGGCUUCACAGUGAACAACUGCACAAUGAUGUUUGUUGUGUUUUGGGAAAGGGUGUAAGGGAGGUGGUACUUGGGAUCCAGCAUCUCCUCCUUCAUGUAUGAAUAGGUGUUGACUUUGAAGGAAAAGGAUGCAGUCACCAUUGUAUAUAAAACCACUCCCAUGCUCCAGAUGUCAGCUGCCUUUGCAUCGUAUUCCUUGCCAGAGAACAACUCUGGAGCACUAUAUUCCAGGGUUCCGCAGAAGCCAUUGGUACCCUGGCCAGAGGUGACUUGGGUGACCAGGCCAAAUUCGCACAGCUUGAUGUUGCCUUUGUCAUCAAGCAGAAUAUUAUCUAGCUUGAUGUCUCUGUGCACAAUGCCAUUCUCAUGGCAGUAGUGAACUGCACAUACCAGCUGUGUAAAAAAGUGCUGGGCCUGCUCCUUCUGCAGAAGGCCCACCCUCCCAAUAUAGCUCACCAGAUCUCCACGAGCAGCAUGUUCCAACACCAUAUAGAUGUAUUCUUUGGUGUUGAUGAUAUGGAACAGCUUGAUAAUAUACGGGUGGUCCAACGUUUUAUAUAUGUCGAUUUCGGUUUUUAUGCUGAAGUCAUUUUUGGUUCCAUUUUGUAGGACCUUGACAGCAACUUGCACCUCUGUGUGAAGGUGGUAGGCAAGCUUCACCUCAGCAAAGUUCCCUCUGCCAAGGCUCCUGAGGAAGACAUAGUGGUCUGAAAGUGUCUCCUCUUCAGAGGCACUGGCCUUCAGGUCCAGCUGUAUUUUCACCUUCUCAUUGUUCUUGUUAGUGAAUUGAUUGGUAAUAUCCAUGUCAACACCAACUGAGAAAACCAGAUUAAAAACAAAGAGAAGUAGGUGUUAGGGAAAUUUUAUACCUUUCAGUUUCUAUGUGAAAAAGUGUGUCAGAUGUGAAGCAAAUUGACUAUGAACUAAUGGGAUAAAAAAAAAUGAUUAAACUAAGCCCCACCCAAUAACAAAUCUGGAAAGCAUACUGAGGUUGAGAACUGAUUCUAAGGAAAUAGACAAAAAUGAACAUUGCAGAGACAUAGAAGCUUGAUUAUUGAAAAGGGUAAACAACACAGACACAACCUUAUCCAAAGUGAUUAAGUAGGAGAAAAAACACAGUUUCAAUCUCUUGCCAAACUAUGGUGCUGUUACACCAAAAAUGGCUGCAAAGUAAAGAAUCAUUUGGACAUAUUUAUUUGUCAAGUAACAGGGGGUUUCAUUUUGAUAUGGAGAAUAUAUCCUGUCCCUUCUGCAAACAUUUCUGAAGAUAAAAAUGUAUUAAACAAUCUAUUCAAAUCAAAUUACUUCAUAACCAUUCUUGUUAAUAAACUUUUCUUUCUUGUUUACUACUAAGUUAUCAAUAACCUAAAAAACCUAUGGAAAUCAUACAACCAUAAAUACUUGAAAUACUUUCUUAUUGAAAGUAUAGAGUACAAAUAGUAACUGAAAACCAACAUUCCUGAAGAAAUAAAUCAGAGGAAUUGGACAUGAUCUUGGUAAACAAUUUAAUAGAUGUUCUCCUAUCCUUGGAGAAAGAAGGGCAGUUUUUUAAGAAAAAAAAUUUCCAUUACCCAAUGAUAUGGUAAGCCCUUAAAAGCCAUCUGAUUUACACAUUUUUCCUGUUCCCAAAUUCUAUAUUUUACUCUGACAUAAUUUGGUGAAAAUGAUACCAUAUUUGUCAACACAAUACUAAAAAGUGGGCUUUAAACAAUGUAGAAAAUCAUUCUGUAUUAGAUAAUAGUCAAUUGCUAUCAUGAAACUCAAUUCAUGUAACAUUUCUCAGAAAUCCAUGAUAUCAUCAUGUUUGUCAAACCAUCUGUACCUUUACAACUUAUUUUGAAGUUUUUAUUCUUUCAAUAUAUUAGAUAAUUUGAUACAUGAUUUUUCAGUUUACAUAUUUAUUCUAUUAUUUUUAUCUGAUCUGACAUUGUUUCUUAAGGGAUAACGUUACAGGUAUAAUGUUUCCAGAUAACUCUGUAAGUAUAAGUAAUGAUAAUGUUCCAAUUUUUCUUUUUUCUCUAUAUUAUAAUAAAAAAGGCUAUCUAGGA